GAAUGGCGGAGGGAGCGGGCCCGCCCCGGCCCGCCGCGCUGCCCGCGGUGCUGCGGCGCCCUCCGGCGGCCGCAGGGGGAGCGGCGGGCAGGGCAGCGGCCCCGUGCGGCACCGGCGGCCUUCCGCCCUCCCGAGGGGUGUGUCGCUCACCCCGAUAAAAAAAAUGUAAAAAAAUGCACAGCGUGCAUGAGAUAUGUGAAGGGGGAAAAUAGUAGUCUUAAACCAGCCGCAAGACCGGACACAUGCAAACUGAAGAGCAGCCGCAUAGAGGUGAGGUAUUCAACAAUCCUCUGCUUUCCUCCACUCACUCUCGGUCUCUGAAGAAAUGUAAAUGUCAUCAAAUCCAGGUAUUCUCUGGAGACAAUGGAUACAGCUCUGAGGUAGUAUCAUGUACAGUGAUGGAAGAACAAGACUACCAUGAAUGCUGGGGCUGGGGGGGAUAUACCCACCGAAAGGAAAAAGGGAAAAGAAGGUUAAGCCCUGAAGAAUGUCUCACCACUGUUGUGGUGACAUCUCCUCCUCCUUUACAUUUUGGGGUUUGUUUUAAGGAAUAUUUGAAUGGCAUAACAGAAAUCUAAAAAAAGCCUGUGCAUAUAGCAGAGCUGAAGGAUUAUAUAGAUAACACAGCAGUGAUCUCUGGUACAGCUGUAAUUUAAUUCUGUAAUUUAAUUCUAUUUCAAGCUCUCCAACAAAAGAAAAUCCAAUGGGUUUCUUUCCUCUGUCUUUUUAUGAAUGAAAAAGGCCUGAGGGUUGGGUUAUUUGUAUUUUAAUAGGAAUGGUUUAGGAAUGCUGUUCUUUUCUACCAGCAGGCUGGGGAUCUGGCAGCACUGGAGCAAAACAGAGCUGAGUCCAGGCACCAAACUACACUAAACUUUGCUUCAGAGUUUGUAGGAGCACUGACCAGGAAAAGGACAAGAGGAGGGAGUCAGCAUUUCUUACAUUUUUCUAGGAGAGCAGAUACUGUACUUCAACUGUCUCACAAAUCUCAGGGGCUUUUUCCUACCAGUGCUCUAGCACGGACAUGAGCAGCUUGCCUUUGCAGAGACCUACUGUCCUGAAGCAGCCUAAGCAAGUCAGACCUGACAACAGGGUCUAAAGACAAAGCAAGGUUACUGGAAAAGCAGAGGUGAUAAGUGCUGCUGUACUUCCUGAAGAGUAGGAGACUGGAACAUGAGACAUGUCUAUGAAAGAUUCUUCCUAUAGGAGUUGGUAUACACAGAAGAAAAUAGCAUUUCCAAGCUUAAGUGUGUAGAUUAGAAGGUUUUUUUGGCUGUAAUUCAAACACAGUGACAAGGUUUAGUACAGAAGAUAUUACUUCCUAAUACUUGUCAGUGUAAAAAAGACUUUGGGAGACAGGAGAAGAAAGAAGAUGGGAUAUCAUUUAAGUCUCUAAGGACCUCACAACUGCUGUUUCUACAUUUAUGUUCUGCUCUUUCUGUAUCUCUGCAAUGUCUCUGAAAUGGGGAAUUGCACCUACCCCCAUUUAACUAAUCACAAAAUCAUGACUGCAGAGACCAAUACCUAGAUUCUCAAAGUCACACAGAAGUAUAUAUUCCGCUGAUAUAAAUAAGAUGGGAAUGUGAAAAAAAGACUCAAUCUUCACUGGAAUUAAUUAUUUCAGACAUAAUGAAAAUCCACACAAGUGGUGAUAUCACACAGCCUUUCAUUACGGACUCCGUGCUUUACCAAGUGAGCCACUACCAAGUUAUAACUGCAUUUUAGCGGGGAUCUGAAACUGUAGACAUGUUAAAAGUGAUCAGAAUAAAACAUUCUGAGCUGUCCAGUGAGCAUUAAAAUAAUGAGCUGCUGCUUAUCACCUGUUGGAUCCCAAAUUCAUAUAUCUGCAGAAAGGAAUUUGAGUGGUCUCAGCAAAAGGGUGUGGGCUACAAGAGCUGGGGCAAAAACCUCAGUUUAAGAAGCAAAUGGGACAUCACCAGUGUGGAGUGCCCUGCCUAAGCCAGAGAGAUCAUACCCUGAUGUUAUCAAGCGUCUGCAGAAGACCUAUUGUGUUUUAUCUCUCCUUUUGUGUUACCUAUUCCCUCCAUGUAAUUCCCCUAAGAUAAAGUGGGUUUUCCCCUAUAGUGUAAGUGUUAAGACCCCAAAAUUUGUAAACUUGGGUUUUCCCCUUUACCUCAUCUCUGUAAAACCCCCAAUUUGUAAUAGGCCAACCCCCCAAUGAAUAUGUAAAUCCCCUGUUGAAUACGUAGACCCUAAACCUUUUAAAUAUCAACUUGUAAGUCCAAUAAAGCAUUCCAGUUUCUCGCCUCCACU